rnacentral:misc_RNA from 1 species
AAGUCGUAACAAGGUUUCCGUAGGUGAACCUUCGGAAGGAUCAUUAAGGAAGUUGUGGUGCGCGCUCUGCGCGAUUCACCAUCAACACUUUUCUUGUAUACUGUUUGGCCUGGCUCGCCAGUGCCCAUUAUUAUAACACCUAUAAAUUAGUCAGAGUCUAUUAUUAACAAAUACAACUUUUAACAAUGGAUCUCUAGGCUCUC